rnacentral:tRNA from 1 species
GGCCUCGUAGCUCAGUCUGGUUAGAGUACCGGACUCUUAAUCCGGGUGUCGGGGGUUCAACUCCCCUCGGGGCCA